rnacentral:rRNA from 1 species
AACAAACGCUGGCGGCGUGCCUAAUACAUGCAAGUCGAACGGGGAAAGCUUUCGGGUGAGUACUAGUGGCGCACGGGUGAGUAACGCGUGGAUAAUCUGCCUUAUGCAGGGGGAUAGCCUCGAGAAAUUGGGAGUAAUACCGCAUAAGACCACAGUGUCGCAUGGCACAGGGGUAAAAACUGAGGUGGCAUAAGAAGAGUUCGCGUCUGAUUAGCUAGUUGGUGGGGUAACGGCCUACCAAGGCGACGAUCAGUAACCGGCCUGAGAGGGUGGACGGUCACACUGGAACUGAGAAACGGUCCAGACUCCUACGGGAGGCAGCAAUUGGGAAUAUUGCACAAUGGGGGAAACCCUGAUGCAGCAAUGCCGCGUGAAGGAUGAAGGUUUUCGGAUCGUAAACUUCUAUCGAUGGGGAAGAAAAAAAUGACGGUACCCAAGUAAGAAGCCCCGGCUAACUAUGUGCCAGCCGCCGCCGUAACAC